rnacentral:lncRNA from 1 species
GAAAUAAUAAAAUUAAUUGUUUUUAUUAAUUAUCAAAUGUAAAAUUAGUUUUUCAAUAUAUGUUAUUUUUUCUCAUCAUAAAUCAGCAAGAACAUUUUGUCCCUUUUAUUAAAAAAACGGUGCUUUGAAAGUCCUUAACUAGAUCUAGAUGAAAAUAUAGAGGGCAGAAUACAUUCCACCGUUUAACCACACUGUGUAUGUUCAUUGCCACUUGUAUCCCAACCGUCCAAUUUUCCACCUUCUCUUUUCCUUUACGCGACAUUGCCAUAUGCUAUGCUAUAAGUAUAAACCAAAUUCAAUUGCUUAGCCCUCUGCAAAAUAAAGUAUGUAGUCAGAUAAAUGGAGUAUCAGAUAAAAAUCCUUUACAAUAAUUUUACUUAUAAAAACUUACAAUUUCCCAAGUACCUCUUAAAUUAAAGGAUUAAUAAUGUGGUUUUGUUUGCCAAUCUAGCACGCUAUAAUAAUAAGUGUUUAGUAUCCUGCGGAAACAUACUCAUUCAAAAACAUAUCUUAAUUCCUUUUAAUUUAACAUUAGCUAUUUCAAAACUUAAAACAGUCGCAACAUAAAAAAGCUUUACACACUAGUUUGUGAUGAAUUCAUUUUAAUCAUCCUACACCAAAAAGAAAGGAAAAAGAAUUUGAACAUCAAAGCACUGGCCCACAACAAGGCUGUUGCACUUUUCAUUUUAAUCAUUUUACACUAUAGAUCGUGGAUUGGUGUUUAAAAGUAGUAUAUUAUACCUGAAAUUCCACAGGCAAUCUACGAUAUUAAAUUUUUAAACAUACACUUAAUAAAAAUAUAAAAUUAAAGACUAUUUCUUUUAAGGAAAACAAUAACUUUAUGGAGUUUUUGAUAAAUUGAUUUUUAAGAGAUAUAUUUUUGGAGACAUUAUCUCAACUAUAUCUAUUAGAAUAGAUCAGAAGAAUAUCGUCCAUUAUUUUUAGAGUUUAUAUGAAUUUUAAACAUUGCACCAUCUAUUGUCCUACAAUUUCCACUUUAAUUAUCUUUUUUUACCUAUAAUUAGAAAUAGAAGCUUCCCCAACACCACACUUCCACUCACACUCCCACUUCAAUUUUCAAUGGACGCCAUUUCUCCCUUUCCAAUAUGC